rnacentral:rRNA from 1 species
AUACGUAGGUGGCAAGCGUUAUCCGGAAUUAUUGGGCGUAAAGAGGGAGCAGGCGGCAGCAAGGGUCUGUGGUGAAAGCCUGAAGCUUAACUUCAGUAAGCCAUAGAAACCAGGCAGCUAGAGUGCAGGAGAGGAUCGUGGAAUUCCAUGUGUAGCGGUGAAAUGCGUAGAUAUAUGGAGGAACACCAGUGGCGAAGGCGACGAUCUGGCCGGCAACUGGCGCUCAGUCCCGAAAGCGUGGGGAACAAAUAGGAUUAGAUACCCAAGUAAUCCACGCCGUAAACGAUGAGUACUAAGUGUUGGAUGUCAAAGUUCAGUGCUGCAGUUAACGCAAUAAGUACUCCGCCUGAGUAGUACGUUCGCAAGAAUGAAACUCAAAGGAAUUGACGGGG